CUGGCCUUCAUCUUUCUCCUGUGCAGGAUGCUUCCUGCCCUCAAACUUCAGACUCCAAGUUCUCCAGCUUUUGGUUUCUUGGACUUACACCAGUGAUUUGCCAGGGACUCUCGGGCCUACUACCACAGACUGAAGGCUGCACUGUUGGCUUCCCUACUUUUGAAGUUUGGGGGCUGGCUUCCUAGUUCCUCAGCUUGUGGAUGACCUACUGUGGGACUUCACCUCGUGAUAGGCUCACUGCUGGUAUUAGAAAGUUCUCAAGGCUACCUUAUCCUUCUUGGUUCCUCUCUCGUCUCCUUCUCCCCAGCUCAACCAGUUUUCUAGAGGCUCCAUUGAGACACAGUUGCACUGCCUGCCACUGUGGACCCCAGCCUUCUGCCAAGUGAGGUACUCACAAUGGCUCCUUGUGCCUUGCUGCUGAGGGCUUCUUGAGUCCAUGCUAACGUGUGGGCAUAAUGCUGGUCUGUUGCAUUCUAUUCAGUGUUUUAAGUGCUUCUGCCUAGUGACUGUCUCAUAAGAUGAGUGCCAUGAAGAUACAAGAAAAGGUCAAGAAGACUUUGCAAUAUAGUUGACUAUGGAGACAAUAGGAUUAUCUGUGAGUGGUGAAGAUCUGGAUUUCUAAUCUUCCCUCAUUUGGUCAACCUGUUAGAAGUGAGAAAAUGACCAAAAAGAGGAAAGGAGAGAUUGAAUAUACGAACAGACAAUGGCCAGUCCAUAUAUGAAAAUAGAACUCUGAACAAAAACUUCUGCAGCAACCAUCCCAGGGAGCUGAACCACAGCUUCUCCAGCAAAUAGUCCAGGGAAUGAAACUACAACCUCUAUAGCAAUUGUUUCAGAACAGUAAUCACUUCUUCAAUCACUAAGACGUGAUAUCUUUCCUCACCCAUCAUAAGGGACACAGCUGACAGUCCUAUAACAAAAGACAGCAAGAGGAAGCAUAAAGGAUUUAUUUAAUCAAAGUUUACAUGACAUGGAGGCCUUCAGAAAUGAAGACUCAAAGACUCAGGGAAAACUGUCUAUUUUUAUGCUUAGCUUCAAUAAGGAAUUGGCAGCCAUGUGGAAAUAUAAUUGGACAAAAGGGUAUGAUCUAAUAGUGAAAGACUAAAGGGGAAAACCUGGGAAGGCCUAUUUGUUCAGAUUCUUACUGCCUCUUUGUGUAGCAUGUCUUCUUUCUGGAUAUGAGACUGGACCCAUUUGGAAUGAGGGUCUUCAAGGGAGAAGGGAGAAAGGAGGGAGGGACAUUUAUAGAUUUUACGGGUUGCUUUAGGGGAGAGGGGUUCUAGUUUCUAUGACCUGCCUUGGGGAAGAGGAAUUCUGCUUUCUAUGACUUGCUUCAGGAGAAUGAGGAGUAGGAGAAAGAGGAGAGAAAAAGGUCAGAAAGACCUUGCCUCUUAAACCUUUCCAGUUUCCUUCAGUUGAAAGUAUUCAGUGUGUCAUGGGUCCAUACUUUGGGAUAUUGUUUCUGAAUCUUUUAUCCCUGCUUUGAGCUCCAGAAUAACCAGAGAAAGUCAAAUGUGUUCCCAAAUAUUCUUUAUCUGAAAUGCUUAGGACCAGAAGCCUUUCGGGUUUUAGAUUUUUUUGAAUUUGGAAUACCAUCAUGUACAUAAUAAACUCUCUUGGGGAUGGGACCCAAGUCUAAACAUAAAACUUAUUUAUGAUUCAUAUACACCCUGUACACAUACCCUGAAGGUAAUUUAAUGCAUUAUUUUAAAUAAUUUUAUUCAUGAAACAAAGUUUUGACUGCAUUGAAUUUUCUACUUGUGGCAUGAUGUCAGCACUCAAAAAAUUUUGAGUUCUGGAGUGUUUCAAAUAUCAGAUUUUCAGAUUAGGUAUGCUCCACCCGUUUAUGGUAUGUCCUGCUUUUAUUUGGCCUGCCUCUAGCAUCACCAUACCAACAAUCUCCACUAAGAGAGUUCCUGAAGUCUUCCUUUUUUUUUUUCACAAUGAAGUUCCCUCACUCCCCUACCUGUGUUGCCAUAUGCCAAAUGAUGAAUGCAAGUAAUAAAGAUUUAUUCCUUUGCAACAGGCGGCACUGAAUACCUACCUUUUGUUUGUUCUCAUUUGGGUGAUCUUCCAAAUCAUA
rnacentral:lncRNA from 10 species